AUAUCAGUCAUGCAUAGCAUAUCAAUAAGCGGAGGAAAAGAAACUAACUAGGAUUCCCCUAGUAACGGCGAGUGAAGCGGGAAGAGCUCAAAUUUGAAAUCUUAAAGGGUUUCCCUUGACGAAUUGUAGUUUAUAGAAGUGUUUUCUGUUAGUGGAGUGGCAAAAGUUCUUUGGAAUAGGACAUCAUAGAGGGUGAGAAUCCCGUAUUUGGUCAUUCCUCCUAGCGUUGUGAUACACUUUCAACGAGUCGGAUUGUUUGGGAAUGCAGUCCAAAAUGGGUGGUAAAUUUCAUCUAAAGCUAAAUAUUGGCGAGAGACCGAUAGCGAACAAGUACCGUGAGGGAAAGAUGAAAAGAACUUUGAAAAGAGAGUUAAACAGUACGUGAAAUUGUCAAAAGGGAAGCGUUUGACACCAGUGUUGUUUUUCCGAAAAUCAAUUACGAAUGUUUUGUUUUUAAGAAGUUAUGACUUCAUCGGCUUGCUUCUUUCUUUACGAAACUUUCUUAAUGCACUUUUCGGUUAACAAGUCAAUCAUCAAUUUCUUUUGUUGUAAAAGGGUAUGAGGAAGGUGGCUUUCUUUUCGGAGAAAGUGUUUAUAGCCUUGUAGCCUCUGCAAUCGGAGAGAUUGAGGUCUGCAGCGUAGAUCCUUCGGGGUUAGAUACGUUUGUGCUAAGUUAUAGCUUUUCAUAGACAACUUGUUGACUAUGUUUAGUCUUGUAGCUUACUCGCUUACUGCUAUUUUACCUACGCUUAGGAUGUUGAUCUCUCACAGUCGAGC
rnacentral:rRNA from 1 species